rnacentral:tRNA from 1 species
GCCCUCGUAGCUCAAUGGUAGAGCGCGUCACUAGUAGUGACAAGGUUGACGGUUCGAUUCCGUUCGGGGGCA